rnacentral:rRNA from 1 species
GAUGAACGCUGGCGGCGUGCCUAAUACAUGCAAGUCGAGCGAAUGGAUUAAGAGCUUGCUCUUAUGAAGUUAGCGGCGGACGGGUGAGUAACACGUGGGUAACCUGCCCAUAAGACUGGGAUAACUCCGGGAAACCGGGGCUAAUACCGGAUAACAUUUUGAACCGCAUGGUUCGAAAUUGAAAGGCGGCUUCGGCUGUCACUUAUGGAUGGACCCGCGUCGCAUUAGCUAGUUGGUGAGGUAACGGCUCACCAAGGCAACGAUGCAUAGCCGACCUUGGAGGGUGAUCGGCCACGCUUGGACUGAGACACGGCCCAGACUCCGACGGGAGGAAGCAGUAGGGAAUCUUCCGCCAUGGACGAAAGUCUGACGGAGCAACGCCGCGUGAGUGAUGAAGGCUUUCGGGUCGUAAAACUCUGUUGUUAGGGAAGAACAAGUGCUAGUUGAAUAAGCUGGCACCUUGACGGUACCUAACCAGAAAGCCACGGCUAACUACGUGCCAGCCGCCGCCGUAA